rnacentral:rRNA from 1 species
AAUGAACGCUGGCGGCAUGGCUAAGACAUGCAAGUCGAACGAUACGGUCAAUUGGGUAACCGAGAGAUCGUAUAGUGGCGAAAGGGUGCGGAAUAGAUAGGUAACGUACUUCGGGCUUCGGGAUAGCGUUUCGAAAGGAACGGUAAUACCGGAUGAUAUCAGUAAUUGUAAGAUUGCUGAUCAAAGAUUUAUCGGCCUGAAAGCGGCCUAUCUCCUAUCAGCUAGUUGGUGAGGUAACGGCCCACCAAGGCGACGACGGGUAGCGGGACUGAGAGGUUGACCCGCCACAUCGGGACUGAGACACUGCCCGGACCUCCACGGAGGGCUGCAGUAACGAAUAUUGGGCAAUGGGCGAAAGCCUGACCCAGCGAUGCCGCGUAUAGGAUGAAGUUCUUCGGAAUGUAAACUAUUGUCAGGGGCUAGAAAGCCGCAAGGUUGAUCAGCCCCGGAGGAAGUCACGACUAACUUCGUG